UACAGAGGUCCCGAGCGUUGUUCGGAUUCACUGGGCGUAAAGGGUGCGUAGGUGGCAGGGUAAGUUUGAUGUGAAAUCUCCGGGCUUAACCCGGAAACUGCAUUGAAUACUAUCUUGCUCGAGGGUUGGAGGGGGGACUGGAAUUCUCGGUGUAGCAGUGAAAUGCGUAGAUAUCGAGAGGAACACCAGUGGCGAAGGCGAGUCCCUGGAAAACACCUGACACUGAGGCACGAAAGCUAGGGGAGCAAACAGG
rnacentral:rRNA from 1 species